rnacentral:tRNA from 1 species
GCCCUUAUAGCAUAGAGGUAAUGCGACGGCCUUGUAAGCCGUUAACUUCAGUUCGAUUCUGAAUGAGGGCU